UACGUAGGGUGCGAGCGUUGUCCGGAAUUCCUGGGCGUAAAGAGCUCGUAGGUGGUUUGUCGCGUUGUUCGUGAAAACCGGGGGCUUAACCCUCGGCGUGCGGGCGAUACGGGCAGACUUGAGUACUGCAGGGGAGACUGGAAUUCCUGGUGUAGCGGUGGAAUGCGCAGAUAUCAGGAGGAACACCGGUGGCGAAGGCGGGUCUCUGGGCAGUAACUGACGCUGAGGAGCGAAAGCGUGGGGAGCGAACAGG
rnacentral:rRNA from 1 species